UGGGGAAUAUUGGACAAUGGGCGAAAGCCUGAUCCAGCCAUGCCGCGUGUGUGAAGAAGGUCUUCGGAUUGUAAAGCACUUUAAGUUGGGAGGAAGGGCAUUAACCUAAUACGUUAGUGUUUUGACGUUACCGACAGAAUAAGCACCGGCUAACACUGUGCCAGCAGCCGCGGUAAUACAGAGGGUGCAAGCGUUAAUCGGAAUUACUGGGCGUAAAGCGCGCGUAGGUGGUUUGUUAAGUUGGAUGUGAAAUCCCCGGGCUCAACCUGGGAACUGCAUUCAAAACUGACUGACUAGAGUAUGGUAGAGGGUGGUGGAAUUUCCUGUGUAGCGGUGAAAUGCGUAGAUAUAGGAAGGAACACCAGUGGCGAAGGCGACCACCUGGACUAAUACUGACACUGAGGUGCGAAAGCGUGGGGAGCAAACA
rnacentral:rRNA from 1 species